CAUCAUCCUCUCCUGCAUCACCAUCAUUGUGGGCAGCAUCCGCAGGGACAGGCAGGCCCGGCUUCAGCGGCACCGCCACCGCCACCACCGCCACCACCACCACCACCAUCACCACCGCCGGCAUCGACACCGAGAGUACGAGCACGGCUACGAUGUACACUGGGAGCUUUACCUACUGGGUGCGAUCUGUGCUUUCCAGACACGAACUGGACGCCAUCCUGGGCAGGCUGGGCUACACGGCCACCUUGGAGUCUGAGUUCUUACUGGUCCAGGCCAUCAGCAAAGAGAAUGUCAAGCAGAUGGUGUUCGAGAUCUUCCUGGUGAGGGUCUCAUGUGAAGCCGUUCUCAGAACCACGGGCACACGGAUGCUUGAGCCGGGCACAGAGAAACUCGCUAGGACCCACAGCAGGCACAGCUCAGAGAAAAGGCUGGUGAAGCCCUGCAGCUGCCUCGAGGGGGUUCAGCCAGGCCCAGGUUCCAGGGGACCACAGCAAGGUCCCUCAGAAGGGGUGGGGUCCGAGAGGGCCCUGGCAGAGGGCACUGCUGGCCAGAGAUCUCUGCCCAUGGCUCUGAGCCCAUCUGAGGUCUCAACAGCCCCCAACAGCCUCCCCAGUGGCUCUCCAGUCCUCUAGGGCCCCCAGUGCCAUGGCAGCACAUGCCUGGACAGUGAGGAGGUCCUGCCUUGCUUCAGUGACCCUGUCUUACACUGGAUGCCCUGGU
rnacentral:sRNA from 1 species